AGUGAAACGCGAGCAAAUGAAUGGAGAGGUGUCUUUGCAAUGCAUUGAGUUCUGCAAGCUCUUAGCAAGGGAAGUAUCCUGUCAACACUCAGCUCUUGUUUAAUCAGGCACUUAUUCUUGUGAAGGAAGUUCUAUUUGAGCCCGCCAAAAACCAAGAUGCUAUGUUCUUCCUUCCUUUUCCUUUGUCUCUCGGAGAAGCUUGGGCUGACACUUGAUCCUUGCUCAGCAUCACGAAGAGUCUCCUUUGAAUCAUAGAGCUCAGAAGGUUGAAUUUCCUGCAAAGGUCUACAAUGGGCAGUCACAGGUUUUGUACAGGAGGAAUGGCUGCAAUUGAUUUGCCAAAGAAUUCUUCAUAAAGAGGUGUUUGGAGCUUGUUCAGUUCGAAUGCCUUGUCAUCCGAUUGCAAGAGUCCCUGACUGAACUGCGUGAUAUUGAAUGAGAUUCCUGAUACUCGCAUGUGAUGAAUGGAUGCAGUAACAAGUCUGAUGCAGAAGGUGUUAAA